CCCCUAGAUGUUCUGGGCCGCACGCGCGCUACACUGAACAGUUCAACAAGUCUUAACCUUGGCCGAUAGGUCUGGGUAAUCUUUGAACGCUGUUCGUGAUUGGGAUAGACCUUUGCAAUUAUGGGUCUUCAACGAGGAAUUCCUAGUAAACGCAAGUCAUCAGCUUGCAUUGAUUACGUCCCUGCCCUUUGUACACACCGCCCGGCGCACCUACCGAUUGAAUGGUCCGGUGAAAUCUCGGGACGGCGGCUUGGUCGCUUGCGUCCGACUGCUGAAACUUGAUUAAACCAUAUCAUUUAGAGGAAGGUGAAGUCGUAACA
rnacentral:rRNA from 1 species